rnacentral:rRNA from 1 species
GACGAACGCUGGCGGCGUGCUUAACACAUGCAAGUCGAACGGUAAGGCCCUUCGGGGUACACGAGUGGCGAACGGGUGAGUAACACGUGGGUGAUCUGCCCUGCACUUCGGGAUAAGCCUGGGAAACUGGGUCUAAUACCGGAUAGGACCACUGCCUGCAUGGGUGGUGGUGGAAAGCUUUUGCGGUGUGGGAUGGGCCCGCGGCCUAUCGGCUUGUUGGUGGGGUGAUGGCCUACCAAGGCGACGACGGGGAGCCGGCCUGAGAGGGGGACCGGCCACACGGGGACUGGGAUACGGCGCAGACUCCUACGGGAGGCAGAAGUGGGGAAUAUGGCACAAUGGGCGCAAGCCUGAUGCAGCGACGCCGCGUGAGGGAUGACGGCCUUCGGGUUGUAAACCUCUUUCAGCACCGACGAAGCGCAAGUGACGGUAGGUGCAGAAGAAGGACCGGCCAACUACGUGCCAGCAGCCGCCGUAA